UCGAGAAUCUUCGGCAAUGGGCGAAAGCCUGACCGAGCGAUGCCGCGUGCGGGAUGAAGGCCUUCGGGUUGUAAACCGCGAAAGUAAGGAGGAAGGCUCCGUGAAGAGCGGAGUUUGACCAAUUUACAGUAAGGACGGGCUAAGUUCGUGCCAGCAGCCGCGGUAACACGAACCGUCCAAACGUUAUUCGGAAUUAUUGGGCUUAAAGGGUGCGUAGGCGGCGUGUUAAGUCGGGUGUGAAAUCCCACAGCUCAACUGUGGAACUGCGCCCGAUACUGGCAUGCUUGAGGGAGACAGAGGUAAGCGGAACUGAUGGUGGAGCGGUGAAAUGCGUUGAUAUCAUCAGGAACACCGGUGGCGAAAGCGGCUUACUGGGUCUCUUCUGACGCUGAGGCACGAAAGCUAGGGUAGCGAACGGGAUUAGAUACCCCUGUAGUCC
rnacentral:rRNA from 1 species